ACAGCUCACUAACUCGUUCUCGUUCUCACUCAGUAAAACACGCAAGAUCAUGGAUAUUUACCUACAAUCCAUCGAAAUCAGACCUUAAAAUCCAUUCUAUAGUUUCCCAGCGAUGAAGAUGGACUCGUGAAGCUCGUGAACGACUCUGAAUUACAGCUCCCGAAACGCUGAGGAUCAGCCACUUUCCCGAAGCAGAUGAGGAUGCUAAAAGAGACGGACUGCCUUCAUGUGCUGCCGCUGGAUCACGCUGGGCAGAUGAGCUGAGUGCAAUUGGAGCGGUGAAAUAAACUAGAGCAAAAAACCUGCCUCAACAAAAAUAAAAGUUAAAUUAAAGUGGCAGCAACAGGCAGACGGACAGGAGAGAGAAGUUUCCGGAGAGUUAGACGGACACACAUACUAGAAGAUGAAAGAGAGGAAAAUAGAAACAAAGGCUGUGUUUUUGUGCUGUCCGCCCGUCUCGGCACAGCUCAAUAUCAUCUCACACACAUGCAUCUCUUUAUGAACUCCAGACGCUCUUCGCUUCACCGUGAACUGAAGCUCUUUUACCGAAUGUUGCUAAUGGCCUCCAUUGCUGCAUCCAUAUAUGGAGAUUGUGGGCGUGUAUUAUGCUAAUUAACAACAGCAGACACAAGCUGUUUGUUACACUGUGGCUGGGAACAAUGUUCUGAGUGGAAAUUUUGUGAAGAACCUUCUCUACAUGAGUGAAUCAGACCCGUGUCAGCGUCAGUGUCGCAGGUGUGUUCACCUCAUUCUCUCUCUCGUCUCAUGUGAAGGGUUUUGCCGUAUUGUCGUCACCAUUGUUUGAGGUGGUCUUGCAGCAUUAGAUGCCUACUGUACCUUUUCCAUGUUCCUUCCCAGACUCCGGAGAGGAAGUGUCAGGAGAGCCGGAGUCAGUCUCGUGGAAUGAUCUGGGUAAUGUUGCGUGAUGGGAUUGUUCCAUAUUCAUUGGAAAAGGCAGAAUGGUUGUAAAGCGAGCGGAGCGCCUCCUUCCCACAGCCAGAGCGUGUCGAUCCGCUGCACAUCGCCGGCACGUCUUCCUUCUCUUCUCCACCUCCCUCGCUUUCUUUUUAUUGUGGUUAUUCUCUGUCAGGUUCAGGUCGUCCCCCGUGGGCACGUGGAUGUUUGGAUUCUUCUCUUCACUGCAGUUUCACUCUUAAAAAUAAAGCUUCCAGACGGGGGUUUUCACAGCAGUGCCAUAAAGAACCAUUUUUGGUUUUCUAAAGAACCGUUCAGCAAAGAGAGAUUUUAAUAAUCUAAAGAAACUUUUCCACUGUAAAGAAUCUUUUGUGCAGUGAAAAGAUUCUUCUUGAACAUCGAUGCCAAUAAAGAACCUUAGAAGAAAAUCUUCUAAACAGAAGCUUAAAGGUUCCGUCAGGCGCUUCAUAUAUAGAGGUUCCAUCAUGAGAUCAUUUUAUUGAUUUGAUUUUUAAUGAAAGGUUAUGAAUUUAACAGCUCGUAAACCAUUUUUUUUACUAAUA